CACCCGACUAGUCUUGACGUUCGUUAGAAGUUAUUAUUUUUAUCAUUUAAAACUACAAAGUACAAUUGUAUAUUAUUUAAAACGAUCAAAUUUGUAGGAGACAUUUUUAGAAAUGCAGUCAAUAAUAAGUAAAAGGUUAAUCGGCGGAAAUAUGGAGAAGUUAUCAAAAUAUUCAAUUUACACAAAGACGAAAACCUAAUUUAAAAAUGGUGGCGUCAUCACCUGGUGAAACUGCGCAAUAUGUUGAAAUACCGUUGAGAUAAUACCGAAGACAAUAAAUAAGGAGAAGGAAUGGGUACUAAUAUAAUUUAGUAGCUCGCUAUAUAUAUUGACCUGGGGUCGUUCGUCUGCCAACACAUAUCCACCUAAUCACGUGACCACCAUGUAUAUAGUCACUUGACCGCCAGUGACCAUGGUGUAUCUAUCUAGUUACGCGUAUUCGUCGAUGUUUUCUUUUAACGUUGGCGUGAGGGUCCGGGCAGGUUGCAGAUUUAUCUACGUCUUUUAAAAAUAAAAAAUAAUGUUAUCUCAAAGAAAUAAAAUUUUGCUAUUUUGAUCGCAUUAAUUUAUUAUAGUUUAGUUUCAAGAAUAAAUCAAUUUAAUAACUUUAUAUCCCUUUAUUAACCUUUGUGUACUACUUAUGUCUCAUAGAAAUCGAUUUAUAAAACUAAUGGGCAAUAAUUUUUUCUAGUUAGAUUGUUUUUGUUAGAGAUCAAUACAUUAAGUAAUCAUUACUUAUGUACUUAGUACUUUUGAACAAUUAAUUUUUACAUUCCUAGUCGAUC